GGGGAUAUAGCUCAGUUGGUAGAGUGCCUGCCUUUCAUGCAUAUGGCCCUGGGUUCAAUCCCCAGCACCCA
rfam:Ictidomys tridecemlineatus contig043026, whole genome shotgun sequence.